CAGCCGCCACGGUAAUACGAAGGGGGCUAGCGUUGUUCGGAAUUACUGGGCGUAAAGCGCACGUAGGCGGAUAUUUAAGUCAGGGGUGAAAUCCCAGAGCUCAACUCUGGAACUGCCUUUGAUACUGGGUAUCUUGAGUAUGGAAGAGGUGAGUGGAAUUGCGAGUGUAGAGGUGAAAUUCGUAGAUAUUCGCAGGAACACCAGUGGCGAAGGCGGCUAACUGGUCCAUAACUGACGCUGAGGUGCGAAAGCGUGGGGAGCAAACAGGAUUAGAUACCCCAGUAGUCCCUGUCUCUUAUAC
rnacentral:rRNA from 1 species